GACGAACGCUGGCGGCGUGCUUAACACAUGCAAGUCGAACGGAGUUCCUCAGAUCAAGGCUUCGGCCAAGUGAAGUUGAACUUAGUGGCGGACUGGUGAGUAACGCGUGAGGAACCUGCCUUUCAGAGGGGGACAACAGUUGGAAACGACUGCUAAUACCGCAUGACGCAUAUGGAUCGCAUGGUCUGUAUGCCAAAGAUUUUAUCGCUGAAAGAUGGCCUCGCGUCUGAUUAGCUAGUUGGCGGGGUAACGGCCCACCAAGGCGACGAUCAGUAGCCGGACUGAGAGGUUGGCCGGCCACAUUGGGACUGAGACACGGCCCAG
rnacentral:rRNA from 1 species